CACGUAGGGUGCGAGCGUUGUCCGGAAUUAUUGGGCGUAAAGAGCUCGUAGGCGGUCCGUCACGUCGGAUGUGAAAUUCCAGGGCUCAACCCUGGACCUGCAUUCGAUACGGGCGGACUAGAGUUCGGGUAGGGGAGACUGGAAUUCCUGGUGUAGCGGUGAAAUGCGCAGAUAUCAGGAGGAACACCAGUGGCGAAGGCGGCUCACUGGACCGGUUCUGACGCUGAGGCGCGAAAGCGUGGGGAGCAAACGGG
rnacentral:rRNA from 1 species